GCCGCGGUGAUAGCUCAGUGGGUAAAGCGCCAGAGAGACGAACGAGAAGAUGGCGAUUUCUCCGAGAGCUAUUAUCUGCGCGGGUUCAAAUCCCGCCUGUGGCA